UGGCGGACGGGGGAGUAAUGUCUGGGAAACUGCCCGAUGGAGGGGGGUAACUACUGGAAACGGUAGCUAAUACCGCAUAACGUCGCAAGACCAAAGAGGGGGACCUUAGGGCCUCUUGCCAUCGGAUGUGCCCAGAUGGGAUUAGCUAGUAGGUGGGGUAACGGCUCACCUAGGCGACGAUCCCUAGCUGGUCUGAGAGGAUGACCAGCCACACUGGAACUGAGACACGGUCCAG
rnacentral:rRNA from 1 species